rnacentral:rRNA from 1 species
AAGCGGAGGAAAAGAAACCAACAGGGAUUGCCCCAGUAACGGCGAGUGAAGCGGCAAGAGCUCAAAUUUGAAAGCUGGCUCCUUCGGGGUCCGCAUUGUAAUUUGCAGAGGAUGCUUCGGGAGCGGUCCCCAUCUAAGUGCCCUGGAACGGGACGUCAUAGAGGGUGAGAAUCCCGUAUGGGAUGGGGUGUCCGCGCCCGUGUGAAGCUCCUUCGACGAGUCGAGUUGUUUGGGAAUGCAGCUCUAAAUGGGUGGUAAAUUUCAUCUAAAGCUAAAUAUUGGCCGGAGACCGAUAGCGCACAAGUAGAGUGAUCGAAAGAUGAAAAGCACUUUGAAAAGAGAGUUAAAAAGCACGUGAAAUUGUUGAAAGGGAAGCGCUUGCGACCAGACUCGCUCGCGGGGUUCAGCCGGCAUUCGUGCCGGUGUAUUUCCCCGCGGGCGGGCCAGCGUCGGUUUGGGCGGUCGGUCAAAGGCCCUCGGAAGGUAACGCCCCUAGGGGCGUCUUAUAGCCGAGGGUGCAAUGCGACCUGCCUAGACCGAGGAACGCGC